CCGGCAGCAGGCACGGCGCAGCACCGGAGGCGGCGGCGAUGUCAGGAGGGCACAGCUGGAAACGAGCUCCCAGUCACCAACCCCGCCCCCAGGAAUGAACGAAGAAGUCAUUAAGGAAGACAUAGAGACAUGGUAUUUCAACUGGGACUUGAAGGAUGGCAGAAUUUUGAAAGUGAGAGAAUAGAAUAAGAAAGUUUUCCAGGCAGAAGGCAUGUCAUGAACAAAGACAUGGAGGAUGAAAAAUCAGAGUGCAGGAGUAUGAAGAUGUCCUGAAGGUGAAGCUGAAUGAGAAGUGCAUAUGUUCAG